rnacentral:tRNA from 1 species
GUUAAGGUGGCAGAGCCCGGUAAUUGCAAAAGACCUAAGCUCUUUCUACAGAGGUUCAAGUCCUCUCCUCAACU